CCUACGGGGGGCAGCAGUAAGGAAUAUUGGUCAAUGGACGCAAGUCUGAACCAGCCAUGCCGCGUGAAGGAUGAAGGCCCUCUGGGUUGUAAACUUCUUUUAUCUGGGACGAAAAAAGGGGAUUCUUCCUCACUUGACGGUACCAGAGGAAUAAGCACCGGCUAACUCCGUGCCAGCAGCCGCGGUAAUACGGAGGGUGCAAGCGUUAUCCGGAUUUACUGGGUUUAAAGGGUGCGUAGGUGGGUAGGUAAGUCAGUGGUGAAAUCUUCAAGCUUAACUUGGAAACUGCCAUUGAUACUAUUUAUCUUGAAUACUUUGGAGGUAAGCGGAAUAUGUCAUGUAGCGGUGAAAUGCUUAGAUAUGACAUAGAACACCAAUUGCGAAGGCAGCUUACUACACAGUUAUUGACACUGAGGCACGAAAGCGUGGGGAUCAAACAGGAUUAGAUACCCUGGUAGUCCACGCCCUAAACGAUGGAUACUCGACAUUAGCGAUACACAGUUAGUGUCUGAGCGAAAGCAUUAAGUAUCCCACCUGGGAAGUACGACCGCAAGGUUGAAACUCAAAUGAAUUGACGGGGGUCCGCNCAGCGGGGGANCCAUGNGGUUUAAUUCGAUGAUACCNGAGGANCCUUACNUGGGCUAAAAUGCGGUUUGACCNUAGGNNAAACNUUUUUUNUAACNAUANCNNAANUCNNANGGGCUCNUGG
rnacentral:rRNA from 1 species